GGGAGAAAAGCUCAACACCCCUUCCUCCCCACCAUUAGGACGAUUAAUACGAUUCUGAGGUCAGUUCCAGGAAGGAAGUCAUCUUCUGAAAAGUCAAACCUAUUGACCUCUCAGGUAGCAGACACGAAAGAAGAGCUGUUGUCUCUGCUCAGAUUUUGCAGACUAAGACUAAUGUAGUUAUCAAUGUCAUAUUCAACAUCUCCUUGGAAACAGCUAAAAACAGCACUGUGAGGAGGAAGCCGACCCAUCUCCCAGUUGUGUCCAGAGACUGACUGGAUCCCAGAACAGAGACUGGGGUUUAUUCUGCUGCCUGCAUAUACUUUCUCCAAAGGAUGGCCCGCACACUGUAGAAUGUUACUGAAACCCAAGGACAGAUUUUAAAGGUUUUCUAGGCGUGUGAGGUUCAGGAACUUCACACAUCAGCUGUGGAUUGGUAUUCUGCACUGUCAGGUACAAACCUUCUAGGUUCUAGUUUAUGGAAAGAAGCUGCUAAUGGGUUAGCAGUCCCCCAGGGAAACAUGCUUGAUAGAACAACACUGCUAUAUCAGACUACCUGUAAAGAGGCUAACUACCUCUCUUCCUUGGUAAACACAGUAAUCAAAUUUUAUUAGAUUACUGAUACAAUAUCCAAUACCAUAGCUAUGUAGCUAUACCAUUCAAUGAGUUAAAAGAUACACAUGGUGGCCUUGAGCAAAAAGAAGCCAGGGACAGUGCUCAG